AAGUCGUAACAAGGUUUCCGUAGGUGAACCUGCGGAAGGAUCAUUAAAUUUCGGUAGUUUACUACCGUUUGAAGGGGGUGGAAACCUUGAAAGAGGGAGUACAUUCUGUUCUUAACCCUUGACUUUUUGCGCACUCAUGUUUCCUCGGCAGGCUUGCCUGUCGGAUGGACAAAAAUCCAUAACCUUUUUACUAUUCAAUCAGUGUCUGAACAAUUAUAAUAAUUACAA
rnacentral:misc_RNA from 1 species